AUAACAGGUCUGUGAUGCCCUUAGAUGUCCUGAACCGCACGCGUGUUACACUGAUGCAUUCAACGAGCUUAUAACCUUGGCCGAGAGGCCUGGGCAAUCUUGUUAACGUGCGUCGUGAUAGGGAUAGAUUAUUGCAAUUAUUAAUCUUGAACGAGGAAUUCCUAGUAAACGCAGAUCAUCAAUCUGCAUUGAUUACGUCCCUGCCCUUUGUACACACCGCCCGUCGCA
rnacentral:rRNA from 1 species